UACCAAUUAAUAUGAUGUUAUACACAUUGGAAACUCUAAUUUUCUUCAUUUUCAUAUAAAAAGCAACAAGGGCAUCUCAACUCUCCCUUCCAAGUAGCUUCUAGUUUCAUCCUCCAUACUCAUAUAAUCUAUCUAACUUCAGUAAUCAGAGCCUAAGUUUUUUUCUUUCUCAACGAUGAGUGACCCCAAGUACGUUUAUCCUUAUCCUUCUCAAGGUUAUUAUCAAGGGCCUCCAGUGAUGGCUCCUCCUCAAUAUGCAGCUCCACCACCCAAGAGAGAGCCAGGUUUUCUCGAGGGAUGUCUGGCUGCUUUGUGUUGCUGCUGCCUUAUUGAUGAGUGUUGCUGCGAUCCCUCCAUCAUCUUUAUAAGCUGAUGAUUUUCAUGUAAUUCCGCUUCUAUUUACGAUUAUGUUAUGUAAUCCCAUUGUUAUAUAGUUUUAUGUUUAAAUUAAGUUGUUGUUUUGGAUUCA